rnacentral:rRNA from 1 species
GCCUGGCGGCUGUAGCGCGGUGGUCCCACCUGACCCCAUGCCGAACUCAGAAGUGAAACGCCGUAGCGCCGAUGGUAGUGUGGGGUCUCCCCAUGUGAGAGUAGGGAACUGCCAGGCA